rnacentral:rRNA from 1 species
UUGAUGUCCCGGUUCAAGCCUGUAGUCGUGCCUGGUAGGUAAAUCCGCCGGGCUUAGAUGAGGGGUGACAACGAGGCGGCUUGCCGUCGAAGUGAGUAAUACCCUGCUUCCAGGAAAAGCCACUAAGCUUCAGCUGCACACGACCGUACCGCAAACCGACACUGGUGCGCGAGAUGAGUAUUCUAAGGCGCUUGAGAGAACUCGGGAGAAGGAACUCGGCAAAUUGACACCGUAACUUCGGAAGAAGGUGUGCCUUUAGUAGGUGAACCUGUACAAGGGGAGCCCAAUGAGGUUGCAAAAAAUCGGUGGCUGCGACUGUUUAAUAAAAACACAGCACUCUGCAAACACGAAAGUGGACGUAUAGGGUGUGACGCCUGCCCGGUGCUGGAAGAUUAAAUGAUGGGGUGCAAGCUCUUGAUUGAAGUCCCAGUAAACGGCGGCCGUAACGAUAACGGUCCUAAGGUAGCGAAAUUCCUUGUCGGGUAAGUUCCGACCUGCACGAAUGGCGUAACGAUGGCCACACUGUCUCCUCCCGAGACUCAGCGAAGUUGAAAUGUUUGUGAUGAUGCAAUCUCCCCGCGGAAAGACGGAAAGACCCCAUGAACCUUUACUGUAGCUUUGUAUUGGACUUUGAACAGAUCUGUGUAGGAUAGGUGGGAGGCUUUGAAGCAGGGUCGCUAGAUCUUGUGGAGCCAACGUUGAAAUACCACCCUGGUGUGUCUGAGGUUCUAACCUGGGCCCGUAAUCCGGGUCGGGGACAGUGCAUGGUAGGCAGUUUGACUGGGGCGGUCUCCUCCCAAAGCGUAACGGAGGAUUUCGAAGGUACGCUAGUUACGGUCGGACAUCGUGACGAUAGUGCAAUGGCAUAAGCGUGCUUAACUGCGAGACUGACAAGUCGAGCAGAUGCGAAAGCAGGACAUAGUGAUCCGGUGGUUCUGUAUGGAAGGGCCAUCGCUCAACGGAUAAAAGGUACUCUGGGGAUAACAGGCUGAUACCGCCCAAGAGUUCAUAUCGACGGCGGUGUUUGGCACCUCGAUGUCGGCUCAUCUCAUCCUGGGGCUGUAGCCGGUCCCAAGGGUAUGGCUGUUCGCCAUUUAAAGAGGUACGUGAGCUGGGUUUAAAACGUCGUGAGACAGUUUGGUCCCUAUCUUCCGUGGGCGCUGCAGAUUUGAAGAAGCCUGCUCCUAGUACGAGAGGACCGGAGUGGACGCACCUCUGGUGUAUCGGUUGUCACGCCAGUGGCAUUGCCGAGUAGCUAUGUGCGGAAGAGAUAACCGCUGAAAGCAUCUAAGCGGGAAACUCGUUCUAAGAUGAGAUCUGCCGGGGCCUUGAGCCCCCUGAAGAGUCGUUCAAGACCAGGACGUUGAUAGGUCAGGUGUGGAAGCGCUGUAAUGCGUUAAGCUAACUGAUACUAAUUGCUCGUGCGGCUUGACCCC